rnacentral:rRNA from 1 species
AUUGAACGCUGGCGGCAGGCCUAACACAUGCAAGUCGAGUGAGCGGCGGACGGGUGAGUAAUGUAUGGGGACUGCCCGAUAGAGGGGGAUAACUACUGGAAACGGUGGCUAAUACCGCAUACUAUCGGAUAACCCAUAUGGGAUUAGCUAGUGGGUGGGGUAAAGGCUCACCUAGGCGACGAUCUCUAGCUGGUCUGAGAGGAUGAUCAGCCACACGGGGACUGAGACACGGCCCAGACGCCUACGGAGGCAGCAGUGGGGAAUAUUGGACAAUGGGCGAAAGCCUGAUGCAGCCAUGCCGCGUGUGUGAAGAAGGCCUUAGGAUUGUAAAGCACUUUAAGCGGGGAGGCGUUACCCGCAGAAGAAGCACCGGCUAACUCCGUGCCAGCAGCCGCGGUAAUAC